AGUGAACGCUGGCGGUAGGCCUAACACAUGCGAGUCGAACGGCAGCACAGUAAGAGCUUGCUCUUACGGGUGGCGGGUGGCGGACGGGUGAGGAAUACAUCGGAAUCUACUUUUUCGUGGGGGAUAACGUAGGGAAACUUACGCUAAUACCGCAUACGACCUACGGGUGAAAGUAGGGGAUCUUCGGACCUUGCGCGAUUGAAUGAGCCGAUGUCGGAUUAGCUAGUUGGCGGGGUAAAGGCCCACCAAGGCGACGAUCCGUAGCUGGUCUGAAAGGAUGAUCAGCCACACUGGAACUGAGACACGGUCCAGACUCCUACGGGAGGCAGCAGUGGGGAAUAUUGGACAAUGGGCGCAAGCCUGAUCCAGCCAUACCGCGUGGGUGAAGAAGGCCUUCGGGUUGUAAAGCCCUUUUGUUGGGAAAGAAAAGCAGCAGGUUAAUACCCCGCUGUUCUGACGGUACCCAAAGAAUAAGCACCGGCUAACUUCGUG
rnacentral:rRNA from 1 species